UACAGUGCCAUCUAUGAAAGGUGUUUUAUAAACCCAAAAAUGUUUAGUUAAAAAUUGUUUCAUCAUAGCAGUCACUCGACUUGGCAUAGAAUAAAUAUUGACCUAGUAACUUAAAAUGGAAAAUUUGAAGUAUUUGAAAAAUACAACUCAGAUGCCAGUAGGGUCCAAGCGUAUUGGUGACUAAAACCCCCCUUCAGACUUGCAGUGGCAUACCGUUCCACUGUAUAUCAGUUCCAUGGCCACAUUUAUAAUGGUGGAUAAAGUUAACAAAACGUUUGAAACUUGUAAAUCAGAUACUUUAAAAAUACCAGAGAGCCUACUAUUUAGAUGAAUUCUUUGUUUUAUGGAUUUUUCUUUUUUUGGUUUUUUUUUGUUGUUGUUGUUGUUGUUUUUGUUUUUGUUUUGAGACAGAGGUCGCCCAGGUUGGAGUGCAGCAGCGCCAUCUCUGCUCACUGCAACCUCCGCCUCCUGGGUUCAAGCAAUUUUCCUGCCUCAGCCUCCAGAGUAGCUAGGACUACAGGCGUGCGCCACCAUGCCCAGCUAGUUUUUUUGUAUUUUUAGUAGAGGCAGGGUUUCACCAUGUUGGCCACACUGGUCUCAGUCUCCUGACCUCAUGAUCCACCUGCCUCGGCCGCCCAAAGUGCUGGGAUUACAGGCGUGAGCCACCACACCCGGUCAGAUUUUUCUUAAGAUGGGAUGUACUUAACUUUCCGUUUGUUGACUGUCAAAUUCUCUACAAGAUUAUUUGAAUUCCAAAGCAACAUUAUUGUGUAAAUGUCAGCCAGUUGGUUAAUAAAAUGUAAAGUGAGAAACUGCCAAAAUAAUCUUAAACUGUAAGAAAGGCAAAAAUAAUAAUAAAAGGACAAUGGGAUGCAUGAAAAUAAUUUUGUUUUAGUUUAUCUGGAAUGUAUUUUGGUAUAGAUGUGACAGUAACUUAAAAACAUUGUGAUGUCAUCCUUAAUUUAUAUUUGGAAUCUGAUUAGGCCAGUUUCCCUUUACUAUUAUUCCAAAGCUUUAUUGGCCUUCAUUUCCUUUUCUAGGAGUACUUUGUAAGGCUCGCUGAAAAAAAUUCCAUAGGUUUUUGUUUUGUUUUAAUUGUGUUAAAAUACACAUAACAUAAAAUUUACGUUUUUAACUAUACAAUCUACUGUGUUAGGUAUAUUCACAUUUUUGUGCAACCAGUCUUCAGAACUUUUUGAUCUUGCAAAACUGAGACUCUAUACCCAUUAAACAACAACUCCCCAUUUCUCCCUCCCCUCAGUCCCUGGUAAUCAUCAUUCUGCUUUCUGUCUCUGCAUUUGACUGGAUAACCUCAUUUAAGUGAAAUGAUACAGUAUUUGUUUUGUGACUGGCUUAUUUCACUUAGCAUAGUCCUCAGGGUUUAUCUAUGUUGCAGCAUGUAUCAGAAUUUCCUUCCUUUUUAAGGCUGAGUAAUAUUCCACUGUGUAUGUAUAUGCCACAGAAAUCAAGCUAAUUUUCUUUUUUAUUAUUAUUAUACUUUAAGUUCUAGGG
rnacentral:lncRNA from 1 species